rnacentral:ncRNA from 1 species
UAUCUUCAGGGCAGGGUGAAAUUCCCGAUCGGCGGUACAGUCCGCGAACGCUACGGCGUAGGAGCCAUUUGGCUCGUGAUUUGGUGAAACUCCAAAACCGACAGUAUAGUCUGGAUGGAAGAAGAUG